rnacentral:rRNA from 1 species
AGUGAACGCUGGCGGUAGGCCUAACACAUGCCAGUCGAACGGCAGCACAGUAAGAGCUUGCUCUUACGGGUGGCGAGUGGCGGACGGGUGAGGAAUACAUCGGAAUCUACUUUUUCGUGGGGGAUAACGUAGGGAAACUUACGCUAAUACCGCAUACGACCUACGGGUGAAAGCAGGGGAUCUUCGGACCUUGCGCGAUUGAAUGAGCCGAUGUCGGAUUAGCUAGUUGGCGGGGUAAAGGCCCACCAAGGCGACGAUCCGUAGCUGGUCUGAGAGGAUGAACAGGCCAAAUGGAAAUGAGAAAACGGUCCGACUCCUAAGGGAGGCAAGAAGGGGGAAAAAUGGGAAAAGGGGGGAAAGCUGGACCAGCCAUACCGCGUGGGUGAAGAAGGCCUUCGGGUUGUAAAGCCCUUUUGUUGGGAAAGAAAAGCAGCAGGUUAAUACCCCGCUGUUCUGACGGUACCCAAAGAAUAAGCACCGGCUAACUUCGUG